AUGCACGCUGGCGGCGUGCCUCAUACAUGCAAGUCGCGCGAACAGACGAGGAGCUUGCUCCUCUGACGUUAGCGGCGGACGGGUGAGUAACACGUGGAUAACCUACCUAUAAGACUGGGAUAACUUCGGGAAACCGGAGCUAAUACCGGAUAACAUGUUGAACCGCAUGGUUCAACAGUGAAAGACGGUCUUGCUGUCGCUUAUAGAUGGAUCCGCGCCGCAUUAGCUAGUUGGUAAGGUAACGGCUUACCAAGGCAACGAUGCGUAGCCGACCUGAGAGGGUGAUCGGCCACACUGGAACUGAGACACGGUCCAGACUCCUACGGGAGGCAGCAGUAGGGAAUCUUCCGCAAUGGGCGAAAGCCUGACGGAGCAACGCCGCGUGAGUGAAGAAGGUCUUCGGAUCGUAAAACUCUGUUAUUAGGGAAGAACAAAUGUGUAAGUAACUAUGCACGUCUUGACGGUACCUAAUCAGAAAGCCACGGCUAACUACGUG
rnacentral:rRNA from 1 species